UCUUGCAGUUGCAGCAGACCAGCUACAGCAGCUCUCAACCGAUGCAUGGACAUGACGCUCUCGAAUAAAAUCCACAGUGGCACUGUGUGCAGAUUUCUGGAGUGAAAAGACAGUUAUGGCAAAUCAAAUUCAUCCAAAAGGUGACAAUCAGGAGUGCUGUAGGAAUGUAGGCAACGCCCCAGAUUGGCAGGAAGAGCUCUGGGAUCAUGACCGACACAGGGAUGAUAACAUUGUAGAGAAUAAAGGCAACAGCAGGGGCAACAACUCUCCUCACCAGGAAGAAGCUAUACAGUAUGUAGAUCUUCUUCAAGGAUGACACUUUCUGACGGAGCAACAGUGGCAGGUUAUGUUUUAUGCAGAUUUACUUGUUCUGGUUCAUCAAAAAAGGAGAAGAAAUGGUACCUUGGCAACCAAGACAUCCCAUAUCAUCUUUCGGAACAAGUUUGCACCGCCACAAGACCACCGGAACUGUUGUCGGCAGUAUGCUUUAUAAGUGGAUGGAAGCUCACUCUUUACCUGUGACGUAUUUGCUUUAUCAGAUGCUAUCGUCGAGUGAUUGAACAGAACAAAUUAAGGAUUCGGUCUUCUUACUCUGAGGUCCCCUAAAUAGAUGAAUUUCCAUCCCUUUAAGGUUGCUCGGACAGCCAAGUCCAUGUCUUCAACUGUAGUUCGAUCCUUCCAACCUCCUGCGUCAUUGAUAGCUUCUGUGCGCCAUACACCAGCGGUCCCUAACAAGGUACCAGUGUUUAGGAGACUAUCACCAUGUUCCUUUUGUGAUCUACAUAAAACAUGAACAGUCGAGGUGUGCACCAUUGAAACUGAAGAAAGCAAAUGUAGCCGAUCCUGCCUCCUGCUCAGCUUUGAAGUGGUAAUCAAGGAAUGUCUUCUGUAUCCUUGUCAGUAGGCUUACUCUGUCAUUCAC